UGGGGAAUAUUGGGCAAUGGGCGAAAGCCUGACCCAGCAACGCCGCGUGAAGGAAGAAGGUCUUCGGAUUGUAAACUUCUUUUAUGAGGGACGAAGGACGUGACGGUACCUCAUGAAUAAAGCCACGGCUAACUACGUGCCAGCAGCCGCGGUAAUACGUAGGUGGCAAGCGUUAUCCGGAUUUACUGGGUGUAAAGGGCGCGUAGGCGGGGAUGCAAGUCAGAUGUGAAAUCUAUGGGCUCAACCCAUAAACUGCAUUUGAAACUGUAUCUCUUGAGUGCUGGAGAGGUAGAUGGAAUUCCUUGUGUAGCGGUGAAAUGCGUAGAUAUAAGGAAGAACACCAGUGGCGAAGGCGAUCUACUGGACAGUAACUGACGCUGAGGCGCGAGAGCGUGGGGAGCAAACAGGAUUAGAUACCC
rnacentral:rRNA from 1 species